CCUAAGGGAAGCGGGAUCUUCGACCUCGCGCUAUUGGAUGAGCCUGCGUCGGAUUAGCUAGUUGGUGGGGUAAAGGCCCACCAAGGCGACGAUCCGUAGCUGGUCUGAGAGGAUGAUCAGCCACACUGGGACUGAGACACGGCCCAGGCUCCUACGGGAGGCAGCAGUGGGGAAUAUUGCGCAAUGGGNGAAACCCUGACGCAGCCAUGCCGCGUGUGUGAAGAAGGCCUUAGGGUUGUAAAGCACUUUCAAUGGGGAGAAAAGUCUUACGGUUAAUAACUGUGAGAGUU
rnacentral:rRNA from 1 species